GUGUCGAAUUUUUAUAUAAUAUGUAUGUAUUGACACUAUAGUAACAAAAAUCUGAACACUUUUUUGUUUUAUAUGAUAAUACAUUUUAGUAACCAAUUGAGAGAACAAAGGUAUAAUAAUAUUAUACAUUUCUAUUUUUCACGUUUAUCAAAAAGUGAAGGAUACAUUAUAUGAUAAGGCGCCUGUAAAUGAGGUCGAGGCGACCACCGACUAUUAGCAACUAAUUAAAAUUGCUACGACAUAGUAAUUAGUCGGCCGUAAUAUCAAAACGCUUCAUAAUCACCAGACUUCCGGUUUUGUCUCCAGAUAAUCUCAAACGAGGGUUUACAGACAUUGCCUUUCGCCGUAAAAGGACACAGUAUUAAUAAUAUUGUCGUUUACGAAGGGGCGCACCUGAAAGUCAGCGUAGUC